rnacentral:rRNA from 1 species
UACGGAAGGGGCUAGCGUUGUUCGGAAUUACUGGGCGUAAAGCGCACGUAGGCGGCUUUGUAAGUUAGAGGUGAAAGCCCAGGGCUUAACCCUGGAAUUGCCUUUAAGACUGCAUCGCUAAAAUCGUGGAGAGGUGAGUGGAAUUCCGAGUGUAGAGGUGGAAAUUCGUAGAUAUUCGGAAGAACACCAGUGGCGAAGGCGACUCAC